ACCUUAACUUAAUACAUACCUUCAAUAUCUUAGAAGAUUUACAAUGAUAUUUUUGUCUGAAAAUUUAAUAGAUCUAACUGCAACAUAAUUUAAUCUUGCACUUUGACUUUGCUUCUGUCUUUAUUCGAGCUUUCAUCUAAAUCUGAAAAUUUUAUCAUGAUAUAGCAAGGGUGAGCAACAAAUUUGCCCAGCAAGUUUUAAAUACAAUGAAGAUAUAUCAUGAUUGAAAAGAAUGAAUAAGCUUUCAAGUUUUCAAUAAUAUAAUAAUUGUGAAAUAACAUGAAUCAAGUUUCAAUAAUUUCAUAACUGAAUCAAUAAUGUUUGAAGGUCAACAACGACCAUAAACAAUUUAACUGAACCUUAUGGUAAUGAAGGUGAUCAGCCUUCCAUACCUGAUGAACAUAUGCAACAUGCACUAAGUGCGAAUCAAUAAUCAGUUUAGACAUGAAUAAUCAUCAAUAAUCAUUCACUAACAUACUUUGAAAUAUAACUCGAGUUUGAGUUAAGGAAACUUGCCUGAUUCGUUGACUACUGCUACGCAGUUUAAGUUAACUUCUUUUGGUAAGACCUAUCAUUAAUAAUAAGAUUGGUCUUUCAAUCAGCAUAUUCUACUUUGUAUCAUAAUACAAUUACUUUAUUAAUAAAUUAUCUAACAAUUAAUCAAAUAUUAGAUAACAUCUUAACACAUUAGUAUUAUUAUCAUUCUUUGAUAAUUCUUCAAUCACUGUAUCAUAUACAUUAUGAUUUAUCACUCGCUUUUUCAUUUCAUAAGUUAUUCUUUAACAUCUAUUAAGUUAAAUACUAAUCCAGCCACCUGGAUUCUAAAUCCAACAACCCAAACUGCAAUCCAGCUAACUGGAUUCCANNNNNNNNNNNNNNNNNNNNNNNNNNNNNNNNNNNNNNNNNNNNNNNNNNNNNNNNNNNNNNNNNNNNNNNNNNNNNNNNNNNNNNNNNNNNNNNNNNNNUCAGCAACCUAAACUGUAAUCCAGCUAACUGGAUUCCAAAUCUAGCAACUAGAUUGCAAUCCAGCAAGCCUAGAUUCACCAAUCCAUCAAUCCAGCAAGCUGGAUUCUAAAUCCUUCAAUUUUAGUAAGCUUUUUUUCAAUCCAGCAAGCUGAAUUCAUCAAAUUUUCUAAUCCAGCAAGCUGGAUUCCAUAUCCUUUUCAUGAAAAACACUAAAUCAACUUAUUAUUUUUCUAUCUUUUGCCCAAACACAUAAUAUAGUUCAUUGAAUAUCAAUUUCAACAAUUACAUUGAAAAAUAUCAUAAAUCUCUUAUUUUAAUCAUCCGUCGAAUAUUAUUAAUUAUGUAAUAAUAUUUUACGCUAAGGUUAUUAACCUUUUAAUAACAUUACAUUCAAAUACUACUAAUAAUAUCUUAAUCCAAUAUUAUUAGUCAUAUAACAAUAAGUUAAGUCAUUAAUCACAUUAAUAAACAAUUAUUUUUAAUUGUUUUCCUUUUAUUAAUACACUUGUUUAAGCAUUCUAAAAUGCCAUAAACAUCACAACACUUCACACCCGACCCAAAACUUCAUCAAAAACCUGCAUAAGCCAUGCUCAAGGGUCUCAAGUCAUAAAUCGUACUUUUCAUAUUUUUGAACAUCAUAUAUAUAAUUAAAUCCAUUUAUCCAUUUAUCAUCAUUUAUAUGAAAAAUACCAAAUCAGUUCCAAAAAUAUUUUUUUUCUGGGAUUUGACAGAAUAUAGUUCCAUAUUGAACAUAUAUUUUUUCCGAAAUUUUUAAAAUCCAUUUACUAUAUUUAAAUAGUCCAUAAUAGCCAAAUAUUCUCCGAUUUUUCAUAAAUCGAGAUUAACUCCAAAUAUUUUGAAAUUUUUACAGUAUGCUCCUGCUAUACACAUGUACUUCCAGUAACAAUUUUGUAAUUUUUGGACUUAUACACAGAGAGUUAUUCGGGUGGCUUCAUAAAAAUAGUCCUUCACCGUAAAAUCCAUAACUCUCAAACCGUAUGGCCAAAAAUUCUCCAAUUUUUACAAAACCUGCAUAUCUUCUGAUAUUAACAUUCCAAAUAUUUUCAGAAUUUUUAAAGUACAAAAAGUGGACAAAACUGCCCCCGUUUCAGACUGCCCCAAAACAGUCUUAUUUUCUUUUCCAUUUUGGCUUAAUCAGCCACUACACCAUGAAAACUCAACAUUUUUGAGUUCUACCACUUGGGUUAACUAGUAAACACGUAUAUCUAGCACCCCUCUUUGACGGAUCAUAAAAAGGAGUUAUAGAUUUAAAACGGUGGAUUUUCAAAGUACAUAGAAAUUUUUGAUUUCAAAACUAGAAAAAUUAUUUUUCUUUUCCUUUUUGAUUCCAACAAAUAAACACCCAAUAUGGCUAAAUCCAUACUUGAAUCCAUGGAAAACACAUUGAUCAUAGGGGUUUGAACUUUCAAAUCAAAAACCCCCUUUAUCAAAUAAAAAAAAAUAAAUGAAGAAAUUAUACCUUUGUUUUUCUUCUUCUCCUUCCUUCUUCCAUGGAGAACCUUCUCUCUCCUCUUCUUCUCCCUCAUGGGCUGCCGCCCCUCCUCUCUUACUCCUCCAUGGCUUCGGCCACUUCUUCUUCUCUCUCUUUCUCUUUCCCGUUUCUUUCUUUUUCUUUCUUUCUCUUCUUUUUCCUUUCUCUUUCUCUCUCUUCUUCUCUUAUC
rnacentral:lncRNA from 1 species